CGGGCUCUCAGGAGUGCUAGUGUGACGGGAGCAGCCUGGCAGGCUGCUUUCCCGCUGAUCUGGGGGAGCAGGCAGCUGCUUCACAGAAGACGACUCUGGGGUCUGGAUAUCGGGUGCAAUGAAUAUAUAAGUUUGAACUUAGAAAAGGAGAUAUACCAGAAGAAAUGGCCAAUGACAGACAGAAAGAGUAUAUUGCCUCCUUGUCUGUGCCUCCAUGAAUCUUAUUCUUCAGAGGCCCUGGUUCAUGGGGCAGAUCAUCCUGGUAACAGUGUGAAAGAAGACAAGUACCCCGGAAGAAGGAGGACCAGUUUUAGGGAGGGCCUGUGUAACCUAAGUGAAAAACGAUGAGGCCUGAACCUGGGCCAUCAGUGGAGAUGGGAGGCUGGAGACAGAGGCAGGGACAACAGGACCCAGAAAGUAAUAAAAAGUCUGAAAAAGCACCCACUGAACUGAGUAAACAGAUCAGCCUUAUUAAGAGGCUCAUCAUUGUGAUGGUGGGAUAGAAGCCCCAUGAACACAGUAGGUAGAGAGGUAAAUCGGAGGUGCAACUGAGCAUGCUAGACCUAAAA